UACGGGGGGGGCAAGCGUUGUUCGGAAUUACUGGGCGUAAAGGGCUCGUAGGCGGCCAACUAAGUCAGACGUGAAAUCCCUCGGCUUAACCGGGGAACUGCGUCUGAUACUGGAUGGCUUGAAUCCGGGAGAGGGAUGCGGAAUUCCAGGUGUAGCGGUGAAAUGCGUAGAUAUCUGGAGGAACACCUGUGGCGAAAGCGGCUCACUGGACCAUUACUGACGCUGAUGCUCGAAAGCUAGAGGAGCAAACAGG
rnacentral:rRNA from 1 species